UACAGAGGGUGCAAGCGUUAAUCGGAAUUACUGGGCGUAAAGCGCGCGUAGGCGGUUUGUUAAGUUGGAUGUGAAAGCCCCGGGCUCAACCUUGGAACUGCCUUUGAUACUGUCGGUCUUGAGUUCGAGAGAGGUAAGUGGAACUGCGAGUGUAGAGGUGAAAUUCGUAGAUAUUCGCAAGAACACCAGUGGCGAAGGCGGCUUACUGGCUCGAAACUGACGCUGAGGCGCGAAAGCGUGGGGAGCAAACAGG
rnacentral:rRNA from 1 species